rnacentral:sRNA from 1 species
AAAGCUUAAGAGAGUUGAUACGCAACACAACGGUCACGUCUUUAUUCCAACAACACACACAUCUCUUAGCAUAAAACACAUAUUUUCCCCAAUUUUUCUGCCAUAUAUAUGAUUUUAGACCAUAAUAAUUUCAUCAAA